GACGAACGCUGGCGGCGUGCUUAACACAUGCAAGUCGAACGGAAAGGCCCUGCUUUUGUGGGGUGCUCGAGUGGCGAACGGGUGAGUAACACGUGAGUAACCUGCCCUUGACUUUGGGAUAACUUCAGGAAACUGGGGCUAAUACCGGAUAGGAGCUCCUGCUGCAUGGUGGGGGUUGGAAAGUUUCGGCGGUUGGGGAUGGACUCGCGGCUUAUCAGCUUGUUGGUGGGGUAGUGGCUUACCAAGGCUUUGACGGGUAGCCGGCCUGAGAGGGUGACCGGCCACAUUGGGACUGCGAUACGGCCCAGACGCCUACGGGAGGCAGCAGGGGGGAAUAUUGCACAAUGGGCGGAAGCCUGAUGCAGCAACGCCGCGUGCGGGAUGACGGCCUUCGGGUUGUAAACCGCUUUCGCCUGUGACGAAGCGUGAGUGACGGUAAUGGGUAAAGAAGCACCGGCUAACUACGUG
rnacentral:rRNA from 1 species